GACGAACGCUGGCGGCGUGCCUAAUACAUGCAAGUAGAACGCUGAAGGAGGAGCUUGCUCUUCUGGAUGAGUUGCGAACGGGUGAGUAACGCGUAGGUAACCUGCCUGGUAGCGGGGGAUAACUAUUGGAAACGAUAGCUAAUACCGCAUAACAGUAGAUGUUGCAUGACAUUUGCUUAAAAGGUGCAAUUGCACCACUACCAGAUGGACCUGCGUUGUAUUAGCUAGUUGGUGGGGUAACGGCUCACCAAGGCGACGAUACAUAGCCGACCUGAGAGGGUGAGCGGCCACACUGGGACUGAGACACGGCCCAGACUCCUACGGGAGGCAGCAGUAGGGAAUCUUCGGCAAUGGACGGAAGUCUGACCGAGCAACGCCGCGUGAGUGAAGAAGGUUGUCGGAUCGUAAAGCUCUGUUGUAAGAGAAGAACGAGUGUGAGAGUGGAAAGUUCACACUGUGACGGUAUCUUACCAGAAAGGGACGGCUAACUACGUG
rnacentral:rRNA from 1 species